rnacentral:rRNA from 1 species
UAUUGCACAAUGGGGGAAACCCUGAUGCAGCGACGCCGCGUGAGUGAAGAAGUAUUUCGGUAUGUAAAGCUCUCUCGGCAGGGAAGAUAAUGACGGUACCUGACUAAGAAGCCCCGGCUAACUACGUGCCAGCAGCCGCGGUAAUACGUAGGGGGCAAGCGUUAUCCGGAUUUACUGGGUGUAAAGGGUGCGUAGGUGGCAGGGCAAGUCAGAUGUGAAAGCCCGGGGCUCAACCCCGGUACUGCAUUUGAAACUGUCCAGCUGGAGUGCAGGAGAGGUAAGCGGAAUUCCUAGUGUAGCGGUGAAAUGCGUAGAUAUACGGAGGAACACCAGUGGCGAAGGCGGCCUGCUGGACAUUAACUGACGCUGAGGCGCGAAAGCGUGGGGAGCA